rnacentral:rRNA from 1 species
CUAGCCGUAAACGAUGGAUACUAGGCGUUGUGAGUAUCGACCCUCACAGUGUCGUAGCUAACGCGUUAAGUAUCCCGCCUGGGGAGUACGCGCGCAAGCGUGAAACUCAAAGGAAUUGACGGGGGCCCGCACAAGCGGUGGAGUAUGUGGUUUAAUUCGAUGCAACGCGAAGAACCUUACCAGGACUUGACAUGUCGCGAACCUCAGGGAAACUUGAGAGUGCCUUCGGGAGCGCGAACACAGGUGGUGC